rnacentral:rRNA from 1 species
GUUCGAUCCCUGGCUCCAGAUUGGGCACUGGCGGAUACUUUACACAUGCAAGUCGAACGGCAGCACGGACUUCGGUGCUGGUGGCAGUGGCGAACGGGUGGGUAAUGUAUCAGGACGAUGAUCUCCUAAUCGCGGGAGAUAACUGCGCGAAAGCGUAACUAAUACCAUACGUGUCGGGGAAAGCGGGGACCUUCGGGCUCACUAAUGAGCGGCCGUCAUGGAUUGGCUAGUUGGUGGGAAGUAACGGCUCACCAAGGCGACGAUCCGUAGCUGGUUUGAGGACGACCAACCACACUGGGACUGAGACACGGUCCAGACUCCACGGGAAGGCAGCAGUGGGGAAUUUUUGGACAAUGGAAGCCUGAUCCCGUAUCCCGCGUGCGAUGAAGCCUUCGGGUUGUAAAGCACCCCUGGCAGGAAAGAAACGGCACGGGAUAAUACCCCGUGCAACUGACGUACCUGCAGAAUAAGCACCGGCUAACUACGUGCCAGCAGCCGAUGUCACGUAGGGUGCAAGCGUUAAUCAGAUUACUGGGCGUAAAGCGUGCGCAGGCGGUUCGGAAGAAGAUGUGAAAUCCCAGAGCUUAACUUUGGAACUGCAUUUUUAACUACCGAGCUAGAGUGUCAGAGGGAGGUGGAAUUCCGCGUGUAGCAGUGAAAUGCGUAGAUAUGCGGAGGAACACCGGUAAAGCAGCCUCCUGGGAUAACACUGACGCUCAUGCCAAAAAGCGUAGAACAACAGAGUUAGAUACCCUGGUAGUCCGCCCUAAACGAUGUCAACUAGCUGUUGGGGCCUUCCGGGCCUUGGUAGUACAGCCUAACGCGUGAAGUUGACCGCCUGGGAAGUACGGUCGCAAGAUUAAAACUCAGCGGAAUUGACGGAGACCCGCACAAGCGGUGGAUGAUGUGGAUUAAUUCGAUGCAACGCGAAAAACCUUUUCCCCUUGACAUGUCUGGGGAAUCCCGAAGAGAUUUGGGAGUGCUCGCAAGAGAACCGGAACACAGGUGCAUGGCUGUCGUCAGCUCGUGUCGUGAGAUGUUGGGUUAAGUCCCGCAACGAGCGCAACCCUUGUCAUUAGUUGCUACGAAAGGGCACUCUAAUGAGACUGCCGGUGACAAACCGGAGGAAGGUGGGGAUGACGUCAAGUCCUCAUGGCCCUUAUGGGUAGGGCUUCACACGUCAUACAAUGGUCGGGACAGAGGGUCGCCAACCCGCGAGGGGAGCCAAUCCCAGGAAACCCGAUCGUAGUCCCGGUCGCAGUCACAACUCGACUGCGUGAAGUCGGGAAUCGCUAGUAAUCGCGGAUCAGCAUGUCGCGGUGAAUACGUUCCCGGGUCUUGUACACACCGCCCGUCACACCAUGGAGUGGGUUUUACCAGAAGUAGUUAGCCUAACCGUAGAGGAAGGGCGAUUACCACAGUAGGAUUCAUGACUGGGGGUGAAGUCGUAACAAGGUAG